GGGGAUCGAUCUGUGUGGGAAGAAGAAGAGAGAGAGGCACGGGUGAGAGGCCGGAUGAGGGGGACGAGCGAAUAAGUAUGGGGGAGGGGGUGAGCAUGGGUGAGAGAGAGAAGGGGGCUGAUGCAUGAGGGGAGGUACCUCUUUAGUACCAGGUGGAGGCUUUACCCAGUACUAAAGGUCACCCAUUAGUACCGGGUGAAGCCCUCAAGCACAUUAGUACCGGUUGGAGGCUUCAACUGGUACUAAUGGGUAACCUUUAGUACCGGGUGAAGCCUCAACCCGAUACUAAAGGGGAUCACGGGAGGCUCCCUGGUACUAGUGCUCACAUUAGUACCAGACCAAAAUGUAACUGGUAUUGAGCCUCAGGACGAAUGCUGAGUUUUUCAGCAGUGAUAUGGCCCAACGACCAUCAACAAACCAGGGCACAGUCAUAUAUACUCCACUCGGCUCCACUACAUCUCCAUCCAUUGUUCCAUCCCUAUAUGAACAUGCAAACCGAUGGCUUUGGCAAUGCCAACUUGUCACGCAAAAAAGAAGUUGAUGAUUUUGACCUAAUUUAAGCAAAGAUCGCGUUUGGCUGAGGCGAGCUUCCUGUUGGAAAAAGUUCAGGGGUGGUCAAAAGGCCGAGAAAGAGAAGGGAGAGGAUAAGGAAACUCGCCCAUGACUCGAACUCACGACGCCUACCUCGCGCCUUGAUCCGAGGCGCAACCGACUGUGGUUGCGGCCCCAGAUCACGCAGCGCCAUAAUAAAAGGGGUAGCCGGGGGGUUUUGAGUUAGGCCAAUGCACGCAAAACCCUACGCACACCCUAACACGCCAACUGAUCCUUGGCAGCAUUGGAGACAUCUGAAGGCCGCUGCCGCUUCACCCGGAUAGACGAGGUGGAGAUCCGAAGGACGACGCGAUCUUCUACAUGCUACCCCCAACACCGGCAUCCCCUUCACCGGCUACUACCCCGACUAAGAUGGCUGGCUCGUCGCCCAAUGUUGCCACCGGUUGAUUACUCAACUUAUUUACUAAGAUAUGUUCAUAUUCUAGAUGUUACGAUCCUGAUUUUAGUUAAUCUAAGUAAUGUAGAUUCCUACAUUUGGAAUCAGUUAAGCCAAUUGCAUAUAGACAUGGACCCUAAGGCUGUGUAGAUUGAUUCUUAUUGUGCAAUUGAGUUGAAUUGUACUGUUUUCUAUGCCCUUUGGUCUACUCGGUGGUUUUCCGGAGCAAUUUGCUAUGCUAUUAGGCUUAAUCUACUUUGGUUACAAGUUAAUGUUCAAGUUUUAGUUCAUUAACUUGAUCUGUUAAGUCAAAAUUAGUGUCGAAUUAGAUCUCAGUUAGCCUAAUUGUGUGCUAUUGGUUUAUCCCAAUUCCGCACCGUCAAUACUUGAACUAGCGCAAUCAGCUCUCAAUUUGCAAAAAUUGAAUGCGCAUCAACAUUUAGAAGGAGAGGAAUUGGGAAAAUCUCAUAAAAUUAAGUCAAAACCCCAAAAUUUUCCCCAAAAUCCCCAAAUCAGAAGAACCCUAACCCUAAGAAUAAGGUUAGAGGACUCAGCUCCAUGAGAAUCGAUGGGCAUGGCCGUCGACGAACACCUCCCGACUGGCUGCAUCAGCAGGGCACGUGCACGACGUCAUUACCGUCGUGCGCGUCCACCCG
rnacentral:lncRNA from 1 species